GGGAAUAUUGCACAAUGGGGGAAACCCUGAUGCAGCGACGCCGCGUGAGUGAAGAAGUAUUUCGGUAUGUAAAGCUCUAUCAGCAGGGAAGAAGUUGACGGUACCUGAGUAAGAAGCCCCGGCUAACUACGUGCCAGCAGCCGCGGUAAUACGUAGGGGGCAAGCGUUAUCCGGAUUUACUGGGUGUAAAGGGAGCGUAGACGGCAGUGCAAGUCUGAAGUGAAAGCCCCGGGCUUAACCCGGGAACUGCUUUGGAAACUGUACGGCUGGAGUGCUGGAGAGGUAAGCGGAAUUCCUAGUGUAGCGGUGAAAUGCGUAGAUAUUAGGAGGAACACCAGUGGCGAAGGCGGCUUACUGGACGAUAACUGACGCUGAGGCUCGAAAGCGUGGGGAGCAAAC
rnacentral:rRNA from 1 species